ACUCAAGAGUGGCUAAUACCGCAUACGCCCUACGGGGGAAAGGGGGGAUCGACCUCUCACUAUUGGAGCGGCCGAUAUCGGAUUAGCUAGUUGUGUAAAGGCUCACCAAGGCAACGAUCCGUAGCUGGUUUGAGAGGAGACCCACACUGGGACUGAGACACGGCCCAGACUCCUACGGGAGGCACAGGGAAUUUUGGACAAUGGGGGGAACCCUGAUCCAGCCAUCCCGCUGUAUGAAGGCCUUCGGGUUGUAAAGUACUUUUGGCAGAGAAGAAAGGUUCCUAAUACGAGAUACUGCUGACGGUAUCUGCAGAAUAAGCAAGCCUUCCAGCACACUGGCGGCCGUUACUAGUGGAUCCGAGCUCGGUCCAUGGCGUAAUCAUGGUCAUAGCUGUUUCCUGUGUGAAAUUG
rnacentral:rRNA from 1 species